GCUCAACGCACUGAGCCACCCAGGUGCCCCUAAUUUGUUUUAUUUUUAGACUAAGGCUUGAAUCAGAUCUAAGGAUAUUAAACGGGGUAGAUAGGGUGCUGCCUGUGAAUGUCACUUCUAAACAGCGGUAAUACACUCUCCUGUGUCUCAGUUUCUCCCAGCAAGGCCUAAGGCCGUCUAGGGGGCUCAGAGCACUGGACAAUCAGUCCUUAUGGAUGCGUCCCCGGAUAAACCAAUCAUGAAUUACCUUACGAGACAGGAAAUUCCUAUGGGAGAGCUAAAUCUCAAGGAAUUCCUCAGAUACUCCCGCUAGGCUUUCAGUCACCUGAAAGCACCAUUUGGCCAGAAGAAGCAAGUGUCCCUUCAUCUGAGCUGUGAUUCAGUCUCUCACUUUUCUAACCAGAACAUUUUAUUCGAGCCUUAUAUUAAUAACAUCAAUUAGUAUAAUGCUAAAUUAAGACAACCAACCCAUAAACUUCCCCCUCCAGGUUAUCCCCACUUAGAGAACAUUACCUGUAACCUUUGACCGCUCAAAUAACAAGCCCAUCAACUCAAAUUGAGGAGGUCUGGAGAGUGGGAGAACACACCACAUACACCUUCGAGGGGCCGCGAAGUCAGAGGUAUAAAGGGCCCGUGCUGGUACCCGCUGUGAUUUCCCGAGCACCCCCACGGUUUUCAGAAGGAGUAGGUGGUGCCUCACACACAGGUAUCAGUGUCAUUGCUGGGAGACUCGCAGCGUCCGGAGCCCACAGCCUUCGCGCGCACGGGAGAACACGGCGCUGGGCGUGGGGACAGGUCCGACGGCCGGCGAGCGGCAGAAAUAAACAUUUAAGAAAAAAAUCACCGGACUCCGCUCUGGGAAAGAAUGGAGGCCAAGAGAAAACUAAGUCCCUGCCCUUAAAGAGACGACACAACAGCCCAUGGAGAUUCAGCAUAGAAGUAGCAGUUGGAAAAACACCUGGGGCCUAUGGGAGGCAGAGUUCUUUGCUAAGCUCAGAGCAUGUCUGCAGGGACAGAACCCUGGAAGACCACCCCCCAGGGACAAAGGAGCCAGCAGGUGCCAUUUCUCUCCCCCAGCCCCCAGGAUAGACACAUGGAGACCUGCGGGAGCUAGUGCAGCAGUAACAGUCACUACCUAACUUACACCUCACCCUGCACUUUGGGGGAUCUGACCCCUCCAACCAGGCCUGCCCCAGCACUGUGGGUACCCUCCCCAGAGGACGGUCGAAAACCCUGCUAACACCACCUCUCCCCCAACUCGCAAAUGUGAUGGAUCCGCCUCUUCCAACCCAGCUGGCCUCAGUCCCCAUUCACAGAGGGCUGUGCAGAAAACCUUAGUAAAGCUGCACCUUGGGGAUCCACCCCUCCACUACCCUUGUGGCCAGAGUCCAUCCAAACCGGGGCCACAGGCAUGGCAGCAUGCAAGCAGCCCAAAUGAGCCACCGCCACUCCAGAGUGACUCCUGCUCCAGGGAGAGGAGAAGAGAGUCCUAUGUACCACUCUAGGUAUAGCCCCAGCAGUGGGCCGGGGGCAGAGAGCUGGUCUGGUCUGAUUGCAGGUCCCACCACCGACAAAAAGCUUCUCAGGUGACAACACAGGGAAAGUGCCCAACAGUUUCCUGCUACUGCAUCUCUGGCAAACACCUGGUCUGACUCCAUUCGUGCUCGAUGCAGUCGCAAGCUGCUUCACUAACACCACAGGGAUCCCAGAAGGAGUAGGGAGAGAAAAGAGGGAAGAAAAUUUAUUUGAAGAAAUAAUAGCUGCAGACUUCCUAAACGCAGGGAAGGAAAAAGAAAUCCAGAUCCAGGAGGCAAGAGAUCAGCCCCAAAAACUCAACCAAAGAGGUCCACAUCAAGACACAUGAUAAAUAAAACGGCAAGAGGUCACGAUAAGGAGAGUUUUAAAAGCAAGACGGUCAGCUGGGAAGAUGGCACAGGAGACGGACCUUACGCUAGCCACGCCCCACAUGAACAACUAGAGAACAUCCACAUCAGUGUAUAUAACCUGGAAGUUACCUGAAGACUGACAGAACAAACUCACAACUAAAGACCAAGAAGAGAGCACGCUGAAGAAGGCAGGAAGGGCAAGGAUGCGGUCUGAGAGAGAAACAGACCAGACCAUGGCUGUCCGUGGUGGGGAGGGAGCUGGUGGCAAGAUGAUGGGCAAAAACAGGCCUUCACACAGGGAGUCCACAAAAGAGAGGGCAAAUUCCCAUAACAUCUGCCUCUGAAAGUGAGAGGGGCCAAAUUUCUUGAGUUCUUAUAACCAGUGGGACUCACAUCCUGGAAUUUUAAAAAUUGGCGGGCUCAGUUCUGGGAGAGCCCAAAGGUAUUAAGACGAGUCCCCACCCUUAGCGUGACAAACAGCCCGUGCAGGUACAGCGUGGAACGAACAGUCUGAAAAAUGGCAGGGGCAGACAGGAGAGUGGUUUGCUCAACUCGGAACAUGGCAUGGAGAGACAGGGGUCGUAGGGAGACCCCUCCAGGAACAAAGGAGCUGGCAGGUGUCACUUAUCUCCCUCACCCCCAGCAUAAAAAGCAGCCACCUGAGGAACCAGCUCAGCUCCAACACUCUAAACAUGACUUCCUUCCACCAAGCCCCCACCCCUGCACGUGGUCAGAGCUGCCCUUUCUAGUCGUCCUCAGAUUAGUCUCUGCACCCAGGGCCUCAGCCCGCAGAAGAGCUGCACAAACCCUGCCAACACAUCUCCUGACAGUGCACUUUGUAGGACCUCAGUUCCGGCAGCGACCAGGGCAGGUCACCUUUCACAAGUGACCUUUCACACCCCUUAUUAAAACACACCCCACUCCCACUAGGGACUAAACACUGCACAGAAGAGGCAAAGAGAAGCUCUGCAGACAACUGGCUCAUGGAAAAACAGGCCAAGAUUCAAAAGCAGAACACACACGAGAGACAUAGAAAACACUCCCUGGAGCACCAGGCCUAGGAACAGGGGACACUGCAGGGCAGGGCACUACAGGACCUCUUCUUCACAAGGCUCUUAUCCUUAGGAGCAAGAGAAGUAGCUAACUUUCCUAUCACACAGAAACACAGAGAACUGGAAAAAAUGAGGAGAGAGAGAAAUACGUCCCGAACAAAAGAACAAGACCAAUCCACAGCAAGAGACUUAAGUGAAAUGGAUAUAAGUAAUAUGCCUGAUAGAGAUUUUAAUAAUCCUAAAGAUACUCACUGAACUUGAAAAAAAAAAAGUGGAGGACAUCAGUGAGACCCUUAACAGAAUGGCAAAAAAGAACCAAUUAGAGACCAAGAACACAAUUCAUGAAAUUAAAAAUACACUUGAAGGACAAAUAAUCCAGUGAAGAAAUGGGCAAGACACGAAUAGACACUUCUCCAAAGAAGAUAUCCAAAUAGCUAAUAGACACAUGGAAAAA